CCCUGCUGGUCUCCAGCACCGUCCAAAGGUGUCAGACAUGUCCGAGGCAGGGCAGCUCGAGUUUCAUUUCUAGACCUGCAGCUGAACCGUCGAGACAUAAUGAGCUUUAGCGUUGCCACUCUGCCUCUUACAGCAGCUCAUCAUCCCCACCACAGGAACCUAGACUGUGGGUCUCCAUUGCAGACUGUUUGCCUGCCUCAGUGUGUGAGGAUGUGUCUGCUGUCCUGGGGUGAGUUAAGACCUGGGCAAAUGAGUGUAGCAUAAUGACCUCCUAGGAGCAGCCCUAAUGGAGCCAUAAUGGUCAUUUAUGCCAGGGGAGGCUCUGAGGGCACGGCGGUGGAGGCAGCAAGUCGCACAAGAACACGGGAGAGAGUGGAGAGAAGCUCUCUCAAGUCCCGUCAUACACAGAUCCUGAAUCUCAGUCUUUGUAUGACUGCGCCGUCUUUCUAUGUGUGUGUGUGUGUGUGUGCGCUCAACUGUGCAUUCAUGUGCGCGUAAUGAAAGGAACUGAUACAAGACUGGUUAACAAUAGAAAGUACAAUAUGAAUGUAUGAGGGGUGUAUCCCUUCUUUUGAUGUUCACUUCUCUAGCUCAUUCGUAUGCAUUAUGCACACAUGCAUACAUCAUUUUCUUUUUUUAAUUACAUUUUCCUCAUAUGGACAAGCUUCCUAUUCAUGCAUACAUCAUACACACAAUAGACCAUGCUAGAAUAUUUAAACCUCUUCAUAUUUCUCCUUCCAUAUUUGCUGACACCAUGAGCAGAAACCGCACCGUACAUACACCACAAUGCAUAAACUUGCACUUAUUGUUGGGGACGAUCUUCUUCCCACCCAUUUUGCAUUUUAAUAUGCACCGUAAACAAAAGAAUAUUUCACUGUAUACAGUCUGAGCCCGAGGUAAUCAAAGACAACUAAGUUCAAUGUACUGUAAAGCUGAGAUCAAAUAGGGUACUUCUUUGAAUGUGGCUUUCUCCAGACUCGACAACUCACGCUUUGAAUGUGGCACAUCCUGGGAUGUUCCCCUGGGCGCUACAAGUUGAAUUAUACAAUAGCACAUUUAUCAGCUAGCUACUGCUAAUUAGACUGCCGCAUAAAAAGGAGAAUAAUGUACAGUAAUGUUCCUUAUGCCUUGACAGCCACUGCUUUUCCUCAGUUUCCAGCCAUUAUCACAGCAGGAUUUGGGGUUUUAGUAAAAGAAAGAAACAGCUUCCUUUCUAAACCACUAGUUAUCUACAUUCGAAAAUGUAGUCAUUCUCUCGUGGAUUUGAUCUCCUCCAGUGGAGAUGUAUUUUGUAACCUCUGCUCCGAAAUGUAUGGAGGUGUGAGGCGAGUGCGGCUUCUUUCUAGGUGACAGAGAUUGUGGAGAAAUGUUAGAAGAAGUGGUGAAGCAAAUGUGAGUUGGCUACGAACAUGACAGAUAAAUUCCUCACUUCCACCACCGCAACAGGAGCAUCUUAAUUUCAAGCAAACUUCAGAUUUGUCUUCUUUGGGAGCUAUCUGAAAAAUCUGUGCUGUCUCACUGUUUUGAGCUGCAGUACCUGGGGAAUGGUGUGCACUUUAAUGCCUAACAGACUCACAGUGAGGUCCUUUUGUGCCUCAUUUUAAUUCAAAGACCUUUUCAAUUUUUUCGUUUUGCUCUUUGUAGCCUGAUAAACGCUCUGAAGCCUGAUAAUUUAAGACGGUUUCCAUAACACUGCAUUUUCAUACUUUCAACAAGUCAUUAGUGAGGUUUACUAUACAUUCUACGGCUGUAUGUUAUUUUUCUGCAGAUGCAAUACCUGAAAAUAAACAAAAAACCUCAGCUCUGAGUCAUACCGACACAUACAUUCACAGAUAUGAACCACUCUGUUAUCACUAAAGCUUUCUGAGUGUUAAAUAGGAUCCCUG